rnacentral:rRNA from 1 species
GUGCCUUCGGGAGCUUUGAGACAGGUGGUGCAUGGUUGUCGUCAGCUCGUGUCGUGAGAUGUUGGGUUAAGUCCCGCAACGAGCGCAACCCUUUGCUAUUAGUUGCUAACAGGUAAUGCUGAGCACUCUAAUGGGACUGCCGGUGACAAGCCGGAGGAAGUGGGGAUGACGUCAAAUCAUCAUGCCCUUUAUGACCUGGGCUACACACGUGCUACAAUGGAUGGUACAGAGAGCAGCAAGACCGCGAGGUGGAGCGAAUCUCAAAAAGCCAUUCUCAGUUCGGAUUGGAGUCUGCAACUCGACUCCAUGAAGUCGGAAUCGCUAGUAAUCGCGAAUCAGCAUGUCGCGGUGAAUGCGUUCCCGGGCCUU